AUGAAAUGUAUGUCCUUGUUUUUCGAAAAACAUGUCAGAGUUUCUUUCUAUCGUUCGUUCGAGCACUCUCAUCUCGUGGUAGUACGAAGAGAGCAUGAUCGACGCAUGCGUUUUUCCCCAACAACAGUUUUACCCUAGAAGAGAAAUUAUUCUUGGCCGAUUCACGGCCAGUCUUCGACGAACAUCCUGAAGUUCGACCGUGACGUCAUCAACAUCAUCAUAAUCAUCAACAUCGGGACAGAGAAAACAUAUAUUGAUAAUUGAAUUUAUUUCGCGAAGUGGAUCAUCCUCGUGAUUGGACGGGUCCUCCCCUCCCCCCACCACCACCACCACUCCUCCUCUUCCCCAAUUUUUUUGAAAGAUUCAAUGAUCAAAAUAUUUUCAACAAAGGUGUACUAAGUGAGAAGAACUUAAGAAGUAACACGUGUUGGGUGUGGAAGGAGGGGGGAGGAAAGAUGACUCGUGCUAACUCGUGAAAAUCAUAAUCAAAAUAAAAAAUAGAAAAAAUAGAAACACUGAGAGAGAGAGAGAGAGUACAGAAGGGAUGACGAGAGUGGUGGGAAAGGAGAAGAAGAGUGGGGAUCGGAAGGAAGGAUGCUCGGAGCCAGUUAUGGUGGCGAACGAAGCCGAGAAUGGUGGUGGUGGUGGGGUCGAAAGGUGGCACAGUCAUUUAUGGUCGUACAGUGUAAGCUCGCACACCUGCGAUCGGAUGUCG
rnacentral:lncRNA from 1 species